GUGAUUUUGGUGACAUGCUGCUGUUAUUUUUCUCCUUUGUGCUAUGAACCACAGCAAAUUGGAGUAAAGGCCUUUUUAGUUGAGGGCAGACAUCUCAAUCGAGUCCAUGGACGGUUGAGACGACCAGCGAAGGAAAAUCACCUCUCUGAGAAGAGAACACAGAACAAAAAGGAACUAAACACUAAUGAACAAAAGCACAAAGUGUCCCUGAGUGACUACAAUGCUCUUAUUUAUCCUGUACAGAUACAUUUUUAUUAGGCAUCACCACACGAGUCCUAAACUCAGUUUCUUUGAUGCCAUCAUAGCAAUAAGUAGAAAUAAACAUGUAUUGUAUAUUUUUGUUUGUCAAAAGAAAUGUCCCAUAGUAUAGAGUUUACUUUUGUUUCCAUGUGUUAUGAAUAUUAAACUUGUUUUAUUAAUCCUUAAUGUUAUUAUGGUGUGAUUAGAGCCAUGAUAUAUUAUGAAUUAAUGUACAGCUGAAUGAUGAAUAUCCCCGAAAUACCUUUACUUGUGUCACUAUAUAUCAACAAGAGAGGUAAAUAAACACAUUGUUUCCCUGAA